rnacentral:lncRNA from 1 species
CUAAUAUCUGAGAAUGUCAGUUGGUAUUCCCAUCUUUUAUAAUAACAUCAUUUACUACUUUAUCUGACCUGUAAUCCCUGACCCCUGACCCCUGACCCCUUGCCCAAUCCUACAUUGAAGAGGUUGGUUUCCCAGACUCAGAUACCCCAACAUGUAGAAGUGAUCUUAGAUUAGAACUAAUUCUAUAUGGCUUGGCUUCCUCUAUGUACUAACCGCAUGUUUAUAUAGCAGACUACAGGCAGGCAGACAGACAGGCAGGCAGGCAGGCAGACAUGCAGACAGACAGGCAGGCAGACAGACCCGAAACACAGACAGGCCUCCAGAGUGGCGCAGUAGUCUAAGGCUGUGCCACUAGAGAUUCUGGGUUGAAGUCCAGUCUCUAUUGCAGCUGGCUGCGACCGGGAGACCCAUGGGGCGGCGUACAAUUGGCCCAGCGUCGUCUGGGUUAGGGGAGGGUUUGGCCAGCAGGGAUGUUCUUGUUCCAUCGCGCACUAGCGACUCCUGGGCGCAGUGCACGCUGACAUGGUCGCCAGGUGUACAGUGUUUCCUCCGACACAUUGGUGCGGCUGGCUUUCCGGGUUAAGUGGGCGUUGUGCCAAGAAGCAGUGCGGCUUGGUUGGGGUGUGUUUCGGAGGACGCACGGCUCUCGACCUUCGCCUCUCCUGAGUCCGUACGGGAGUUGCAGCGAUGAGACAAGACCGUAACUACCAAUUGGAUACCACAAAAUUGUGGAGAAAAAGGGUGGAAAAAAAUGUCAAAUUAAAAGAGGCAGGCAGGUAGACGGGGCAGGCAGAUAGACAUUCAUCAUGUAUGGCUUGGCUUCCUCUAUGUAUUAACCGCAUGUUUCUAUAGCAGACUACAGACAGACGGACGGGCAGGCAGACAGACGGACGGGCAGGCAGAUAGUCAGGCAGGCAGACAGAUUCUCCUUGGACCUCUCUCAUCAACGAGCUGUUUUCUGAGAUACUGAAUUUGGAGCGCUUGGCACAUAGUUUUGCCCAUUCUAACAUUCAGUCGAACAGUAACUGAAUGCCUCGAUGCCUGCUUUAUAUAGCAAGCCACAGCCACGCUACUCACUGUCUGUCAUCCAUUUUUGUGAAAUGGGGGGUGGACCCAAUAAACUGGCCGGUGAGUGUUUUUCAUCUAUACAUGAAUAUAAUGGUGUAUAUAUAGCAUGUUAACAUAGGGAUAUAUAUAAUCUAUACAACAGUAUAUAUAGCAUGUUAACAUAGGGAUAUAUACAGUAUCAUCUAUACAUGAUGUGGCAGACCAAGGGGUUGGGUCAAAACAUUUACACAGAUCAGACACGGACAGAGAAGGAUUAGCUCAGUUUCAAAGAUGUUUAUUAAAAUAAUAGUUCAAAAAGAAAAGAAUAAGUCUCCCUCAAGAGACCCUCUCCGGGAUACCGUCUUCUGGGCUCCGGGUCUUGCUGUAUCCUGUGGGGAUGAAAAACUCAACUCCCUCCUGUUACCUCUGUAACCGUCCCCAACUAUACAGGAGUCCUUUCUUCCCCCACUCUCUUCCUGUGUGCUGCCCUUCUGGCAGCUUUAUGGGACUUGUACAGCUGAUGAACAACCAGCCCUUGAUUACUCACCAACUCCCAAUCAGCCCCAAUUAGUCCUGGACGGAGAGCCCGUCGAGACCUGGCACGUCCAGCAGAUGGAGCCAUCGCCUCGUGAUGUACACUCUGUCUGUCACCAGGCCUCGACGAGUCUCCCCCUGGUGGCUGACCUGCUGUACGCCACAAUGAAUACAACAGUAUAUAUAGCAUGUUUACAUAGAGAUAUAUAUAUAAACUAUACAACAGUAUAUAUAGCAUGUUAACAUGGGAAUAUAUAUCAUCUAUACAUGAAUAUAACAGUCUAUAUGGGUCCAGUGUUGGUUUCUUGAGGAGGGAAGCGACUCGGGCCAUCUUGAAGUCAGUUGUCAGGGAUGAGUUGGUGAGGGAAGUGAGGAAUGGGAGAAGGUCUCCAGAGAUGAGUUGAUGAAGGAAGUGAGAAGGUCUCCAGAGAUGGUGUGGAGAAGGGAAUGGGGAUGAGUUGAUGAGGGAAGUAAGAAGGUCUCCAGAGAUGGUGUGGAGAAGUGAGGAGGGAAUGGGGUUGAGUUGAUGAGGGAAGUUAGGAAGGGGAGGUCUCCAGAGAUGGUCUGGAGAAGGGAAGAGGGAAUGGGGUUGAGUUGAUGAGGGAAGUUAGGAAGGGGAGGUCUCCAGAGAUGGUCUGGAGAAGGGAAGAGGGAAUGGGGUUGAGUUGAUGAGGGAAGUGAGGAAGGGGAGGUCUCCAGAGAUGGUCUAGAGAAGGGAAGAGGGAAUGGGGUUGAGUUGAUGAGGGAAGUGAGGAAGGGGAGGUCUCCAGAGAUGGUCUAGAGAAGGGAAGAGGGGUUGAGUGGGCAGGUUGUCGGGCGGACGGACAUCACUAAUCGCAGGAUUUUAUCUGGAGUGAGAGGGGAGAAUGAGGUCAAGGUGUAUGGUAGUUAUGGAGAGAGAUGGGAGAAAGAGGUCAAGGUGUAUGGUAGUUAUGGAGAGAGAUGGGAUAAAGAGGUCAAGGUGUAUGGUAGUUAUGGAGAGAGAGGGGAGAAAGAGGUCAAGGUGUAUGGUAGUUAUGGAGAGAGAGGGGAGAAAGAGGUCAAGGCGUAUGGUAGUUAUGGAGAGAGAUGGGAGAAAGAGGUCAAGGCGUAUGGUAGUUAUGGAGAGAGAGGGGAGAAAGAGGUCAAGCCGUAUGGUAGUUAUGGAGAGAGAGGGGAGAAAGAGGUCAAGGCGUAUGGUAGUUAUGGAGAGAGAGGGGAGAAAGAGGUCAAGGUGUAUGGUAGUUUUGUGUGAGUGGGACCAGUGGACUCAAUAGGCUGAGUGAAUGAGGAGCAGAUGUCGUCUGGAGAGAGAUGGGAGAAAGAGGUCAAGGCGUAUGGUAGUUAUGGAGAGAGAGGGGAGAAAGAGGUCAAGGUGUAUGGUAGUUAUGGAGAGAGAGGGGAGAAAGAGGUCAAGGCGUAUGGUAGUUAUGGAGAGAGAUGGGAGAAAGAGGUCAAGGCGUAGGGUAGUUAUGGAGAGAGAGGGGAGAAAGAGGUCAAGGCGUAUGGUAGUUAUGGAGAGAGAGGGGAUAAAGAGGUCAAGGCGUAUGGUAGUUAUGGAGAGAGAGGGGAGAAAGAGGUCAAGGUGUAUGGUAGUUAUGGAGAGAGAGGGGAGAAAGAGGUCAAGGCGUAUGGUAGUUAUGGAGAGAGAUGGGAUAAAGAGGUCAAGGCGUAUGGUAGUUAUGGAGAGAGAGGGGAGAAAGAGGUCAAGGCGUAUGGUAGUUAUGGAGAGAGAGGGGAGAAAGAGGUCAAGGCGUAUGGUAGUUAUGGAGAGAGAUGGGAGAACGAGGUCAAGGUGUAUGGUAGUUAUGGAGAGAGAGGGGAGAAAGAGGUCAAGGUGUAUGGUAGUUAUGGAGAGAGAGGGGAGAAUGAGGUCAAGGCGUAUGGUAGUUAUGGAGAGAGAGGGGAGAAAGAGGUCAAGGCGUAUGGUAGUUAUGGAGAGAGAUGGGAGAACGAGGUCAAGGUGUAUGGUAGUUAUGGAGAGAGAUGGGAUAAAGAGGUCAAGGUGUAUGGUAGUUAUGGAGAGAGAGGGGAGAAAGAGGUCAAGGCGUAUGGUAGUUAUGGAGAGAGAGGGGAGAAAGAGGUCAAGGCGUAUGGUAGUUAUGGAGAGAGAGGGGAGAAAGAGGUCAAGGUGUAUGGUAGUUAUGGAGAGAGAGGGGAGAAAGAGGUCAAGGCGUAUGGUAGUUAUGUGUGAGUGGGACCAGUGGACUCAGUAGGCUGAGUGAAUGAGGAGCAGAUGCCCUCUAGUGACCACUAUUCCAACACUAUAGUCAAUUACUUUGGGCCAAAGUCUCCCAAAGCUGUCUAAUACAUCUGGUCUAAAGUAGUGCACUAGGAAGGGAACAGGGCUCUGGUCUAAAGUAGUGCACUAUGAAGGGAACAGGGCUCUGGUCUAAAGUAGUGCACUAUGAAGGGAACAGGGCUCUGGUCUAAAGUAGUGCACUAUGAAGGGAACAGGGCUCUGGUCUAAAGUAGUGCACUAUGAAGGGAACAGGGCUCUGGUCUAAAGUAGUGCACUAUGAAGGGAACAGGGCUCUGGUCUACAGUAGUGCACUAUGAAGGGAACAGGGCUCUGGUCUACAGUAGUGCACUAUGAAGGGAACAGGGCUCCGUAGAGGAAUUUGGUGCCAUUUUAGAUUGGCCCUGUGUAUAUGCAACAUGAUAUAUCUAAUGUUGUUAGAUUAUAUAUAUUAGUGUAAAUUAUGUUAUUUGAUCUAUAUUAAUGUAAAUGAUGCUGUAUGAUGUAAAUGUCUCAGAAAAUAAACUGCCUGAUCCCGAAAGAACCAAUAAAAACCCAGAUGACAAAGC